AAACAUGUUGCAUGACAUAAAGGUCUGGUCCUGGCCUUAUUAUCAAUUGCAGCUAAACUUACACAUGCAAGUUUCCCCGCCCCCGUGAAAAUGCCCUCUUUCUCCCCAUAAAGAGCUAGAGGAGCCGGUAUCAGGCUCAAUAUUGCCCAUGACACCUAGCCCCGCCACACCCCCAAGGGUAUUCAGCAGUGAUCAACAUUGAAAACUAGCGAAAGCUAAAUUCAGUUACUAGCUAAAAAAACCGGUCAAUCUCGUGCCAGCCACCGCGGUUAUACGGGCAGGUUUAAAUUGAUAACAUCGGCUCAAAGCGUGGUUAGAUUCUCCCUUAAAUAAAGCAAAAAAGAAGCCCAGCUGUGAUAUGCUUUCGCUUUUUAUAACCCCAAUCACGAAAGUAGCUUUAAUUCCUAUUGAACCCACGAUCGCUAGGACACAAACUGGGAUUAGAUACCCCACUAUGCCUAGCCCUAAACUUUGACAUUUCCGCCUGGGAACUACGAGCGUUAGCUUAAAACCCAAAAGACUUGGCGGUGCCCUAUACCACCUAGAGGAGCCUGUUCUAAAUCCCCGAUAAAA
rnacentral:rRNA from 1 species